rnacentral:lncRNA from 1 species
GCCCAGUCAUCUUUUCAUCUGCAGUAUAUUCAUGUCCAGGCCCCAGGGGAUGGGGAUCAUAAUAACUGUUUUGUGUAUGUGCUAAGAACUAUUCCCUCUGUAUACAGGAGGAAACCGCGAUCAUGUGACUUGCUGAAAUCUUACAGUUAAGGGAGCCCUUUUCAAUUCAGAUCUUAAUAUCCUAAGACUUCAGCACCACUGGGGAAAGAGGCUCACAGCCUUCACCUUCUGUUCUCAGGAAAUUCCUCUCCAGCUCUAAUUUAGAGGAUGAGCAGCCUCCAGACCCAUUAUUCCUGAUCAAAAGAGAAAAGUGCCCAUGAGCCAAGCCAGUGGGUUAUGGGGGCUGAUAGUACUGCUUCCAGAGGACUCUUAACAGGAUGUGGCUGGGUGCCGGGUCCCAAUAAGGAAGGAAGAUCCCACCCAAGGAAGAGGAAAUCCAGGCUGCUGAUGAGAAAGCUGUCCUCAAGGAGCUGUGUGAUGUCAUCAAGAAGAGGGUCCCAUUCCCUAGGAAUCCUAGAAGCAGACAAUCGGGAAGAGUUCACCAAGUCAAAAAGGAAGGAGAGCAGGACAUAGAAACUUUUCUCCAGACAAAAGCACCCCAGAACCUUCAACCUCAAGAUUUUGGAAGCAGGACCCACCCAGCUCCAACUCUGCUCUCUGAGCUUCCUCCUGAGCAGGCUCAGGCCAGCGUUAAUUAACCGCAGCC